UACCAGCACCCCGAGUGGUCGGGACGAUUAUUGGGCCUAAAGCAUCCGUAGCCGGUUUUACAAGUCCUCCGUUAAAUCCAGCUGCUUAACAGAUGGGCUGCGGAGGAUACUAUAAGACUAGGAGGCAGGAGAGGCAAGCGGUACUCAGUGGGUAGGGGUAAAAUCCACUGAUCCAUUGAAGACCACCAGUGGCGAAGGCGGCCUGCCAGAACGCGCUCGACGGUGAGGGAUGAAAGCUGGGGGAGCAAACCGG
rnacentral:rRNA from 1 species